CCUACGGGGCGCAGCAGUGAGGAAUAUUGGUCAAUGGGCUUACGCCUGAACCAGCCAAGUCGCGUGAGGGAAGACUGCCCUAUGGGUUGUAAACCUCUUUUGUCAGGGAGCAACGCCGGCUACGUGUAGCCGGACUGAGAGUACCUGAAGAAAAAGCAUCGGCUAACUCCGUGCCAGCAGCCGCGGUAAUACGGAGGAUGCGAGCGUUAUCCGGAUUGAUUGGGGUUAAAGGGUGCGUAGGCGGAAUGCCAAGUCAGCGGUAAAAUCGCGGGGCUCAACCUCGCUCCGCCGUUGAAACUGGCGUUCUUGAGUGGGCGAGAAGUAUGCGGAAUGCGUGGUGUAGCGGUGAAAUGCAUAGAUAUCACGCAGAACUCCGAUUGCGAAGGCAGCAUACCGGCGCCCAACUGACGCUGAAGCACGAAAGCGUGGGUAUCGAACAGGAUUAGAUACCCGGGUAGUC
rnacentral:rRNA from 1 species